rnacentral:rRNA from 1 species
AUUGAACGCUGGCGGCAUGCUUUACACAUGCAAGUCGAACGGUAACAGGGAGCUUGCUCCGCUGACGAGUGGCGAACGGGUGAGUAAUGCGUCGGAACGUGCCGAGUAGUGGGGGAUAACGCAUCGAAAGGUGUGCUAAUACCGCAUACGUACUGAGGUAGAAAGUGGGGGACCUUCGGGCCUCACGCUAUUCGAGCGGCCGACGUCUGAUUAGCUAGUUGGUGAGGUAAAGGCUCACCAAGGCGACGAUCAGUAGCGGGUCUGAGAGGAUGAUCCGCCACACUGGGACUGAGACACGGCCCAGACUCCUACGGGAGGCAGCAGUGGGGAAUUUUGGACAAUGGGCGCAAGCCUGAUCCAGCCGUGCCGCGUGUCUGAAGAAGGCCUUCGGGUUGUAAAGGACUUUUGUCCGGGAGCAAAUGCCUGGUGUUACUAGCACUGGGAGCUGAGAGUACCGGAAGAAUAAGCACCGGCUAACUACGUGCCAGCCGCCGCAGUAAUAC